UACGUAGGGUGCGAGCGUUAAUCGGAAUUACUGGGCGUAAAGCGUGCGCAGGCGGUUUUGUAAGCCAGGUGUGAAAUCCCCGGGCUCAACCUGGGAAUGGCAUUUGGGACUGCAAGGCUGGAGUGCGGCAGAGGAGACUGGAAUUCCUGGUGUAGCAGUGAAAUUCGUAGAUAUCGGGAGGAACACCAGUGGCGAAGGCGGCGAUCUGGGCAGAUACUGACGCUGAGGUGCGAAAGCGUGGGGAGCAAACAGG
rnacentral:rRNA from 1 species